AUACUUACCUGGACGGGGUCUAAUGGACGAUCAUCAAGGUCCAUGGCCUAGGUUGGUGACCUCCAUUGCACUUUAGGAGGGGUACCAGCCUAAGAUCUGCCCUAGUUGGCAGAGUCUACGUCGUAAUUUGUGUCAGCUGGGGGCCUGCGUUCGCGCGGCCCCCUU